rnacentral:rRNA from 1 species
UCCAGACUCCUACGGGAGGCAGCAGUGGGGAAUAUUGCACAAUGGGGGAAACCCUGAUGCAGCGACGCCGCGUGAGUGAAGAAGUCAUUCGUGAUGUAAAGCUCUCUCAGCAGGGAAGAAAAUGACGGUACCUGACCAAGAAGCCCCGGCUAACUACGUGCCAGCAGCCGCGGUAAUACGUAGGGGGCAAGCGUUAUCCGGAUUUACUGGGUGUAAAGGGAGCGUAGACGGUUGCGCAAGUCUGGAGUGAAAGGCGGGGGCCCAACCCCUGGACUGCUCUGGAAACUGUUGUACUUGAGUGCAGGAGAGGUAAGUGGAAUUCCUAGUGUAGCGGUGAAAUGCGUAGAUAUUAGGAGGAACACCAGUGGCGAAGGCGGCUUACUGGACUGUAACUGACGUUGAGGCUCGAAAGCGUGGGGAGCAAACAGGAUUAGAUACCCUAGUA